GGAGACAGAGCCAAGCCCACUGAGGAAGGGCUGGCUUCCAGGGGAACACAGACCCUGUACCCCUGGCAAAAGGAGGGAAGCUGGAGUCGGCGGGCACAGGAAAGUUCUGCAAGGGGUCUGAGACGUAGCUAAGGGUACCCCUGGGACAAACAGCAGACAGUGUGAAGGACACUGACCCAAGAAGCAAGAAAAAGUCCA